rnacentral:rRNA from 1 species
UACGGAGGAUGCAAGCGUUAUCCGGAUUUAUUGGGUUUAAAGGGUGCGUAGGCUGUUCUGCAAGUCAGGGGUGAAAGCCCGGCGCUUAACGCCGGAACUGCCUUUGAUACUGUAGGGCUUGAAUUCGGAUGCCGUGGGAGGAAUGAGUAGUGUAGCGGUGAAAUGCAUAGAUAUUACUCAGAACACCGAUUGCGAAGGCAUCUCACGAAUCCGUGAUUGACGCUGAGGCACGAAAGCGUGGGGAUCAAAC